AAUAAGCUAUUUAAGAGCGUAAGGUGGGUGCCUUGGCUCUCAGAGGCGAUGAAGGACGUGAUAAGCUGCGAUAAGCUACGGGGAUUGGCACACACAAUUUGAUCCGUAGAUUUCCGAAUGGGGCAACCCACUAUAUUGAAGAUAUAGUAUCCGUUAAGGAAGCAAACCCAGGGAACUGAAACAUCUAAGUACCUGGAGGAAUAGAAAACAAAAGUGAUUCCGCUAGUAGUGGCGAGCGAACGCGGAACAGCCCAAACCAAAAUUGUUUCGGCAAUUUUGGGGUUGUAGGA
rnacentral:rRNA from 1 species